UGCCACGGGAAAACCAGCUCUCCGAGUGGUGUGGAUGUUUAUUGGGGCUUAAAAGCAUCCGUAGCUGGCUGAGCAAGUCCUCUGUUAAAUCCAGCGAUUCAAUCGUUGGCUUGCAGAGGAUACUGUUCGGCUUGGAGGCGGGAGAGGCCGACGGUAUUCCCGGGGUAGGGGUGAAAUCCUAUAAUCCCGGGAGGACCACCAGUGGCGAAGGC
rnacentral:rRNA from 1 species